UGUAGUUCAGUGGUAAAAUGCUUGCCUUGCAUGUAUGAGGCCCUGGGUUCAAUCCUCAGCA
rnacentral:tRNA from 1 species